AUUUAUUUGGGUUUGGGUUUCUGCUAGUCGGCCGUCUCGAUCUCCCUCUCGGGAUUCCACUUCUCCUAUGCGGUGAGUCAGGGUGCCAAUCUCUGUCUAUACCCCCGAGAGGUCCGCUUUCCACACCGCCCGCAGGUCCAGAAGCAGUUGCUUAGUGGGCAAUGAGUCUACUCUCUGGUGCACUCCACUGUUUGCCUGCGAGGCCACCAUGUCUUCCUCC